rnacentral:rRNA from 1 species
AUUGAACGCUGGCGGCAUGCUUUACACAUGCAAGUCGAACGGCAGCGCGGGCUUCGGCCUGGCGGCGAGUGGCGAACGGGUGAGUAAUACAUCGGAACGUGCCCAGUAGUGGGGGAUAGCUCGGCGAAAGCCGGAUUAAUACCGCAUACGACCUGAGGGUGAAAGCGGGGGAUCUUCGGACCUCGCGCUAUUGGAGCGGCCGAUGGCAGAUUAGCUAGUUGGUGGGGUAAAGGCCUACCAAGGCGACGAUCUGUAGCUGGUCUGAGAGGACGACCAGCCACACUGGGACUGAGACACGGCCCAGCCUCCUACGGGAGGCAGCAGUGGGGAAUUUUGGACAAUGGGCGAAAGCCUGAUCCAGCAAUGCCGCGUGUGUGAUGAAGGCCUUCGGGUUGUAAAGCACUUUUGGCGGGAACGAAAAGGACUGUGCCAAUACCACGGUUCGAUGACGGUACCCGCAGAAUAAGCACCGGCUAACUACGUG